rnacentral:rRNA from 1 species
CUACGGGCGGCUGCAGUGGGGAAUAUUGCACAAUGGAGGAAACUCUGAUGCAGCAACGCCGCGUGGAGGGUGACACUUUUCGGAGCGUAAACUCCUUUUAUAUAGGAAGAAGAUGACGGUACUAUAUGAAUAAGCGCCGGCUAACUCCGUGCCAGCAGCCGCGGUAAUACGGAGGGCGCAAGCGUUACUCGGAAUCACUGGGCGUAAAGAGCGUGUAGGCGGAUUAAAAAGUCAGAAGUGAAAUCCUAUAGCUUAACUAUAGAACUGCUUCUGAAACUCUUAAUCUAGAAUAUGGGAGAGGUAGAUGGAAUUUCUGGUGUAGGGGUAAGAUCCGUAGAGAUCAGAAGGAAUACCGAUUGCGAAGGCGAUCUACUAGAACAUUAUUGACGCUGAGACGCGAAAGCGUGGGGAGCAAACAGGAUUAGAUACCCUCGUAGUC